AUAUCAAUAAGCGGAGGAAAAGAAACCAACAGGGAUUGCUCUAGUAACGGCGAGUGAAGCAGCAAUAGCUCAAAUUUGAAAUCUGGCGUCUUCGACGUCCGAGUUGUAAUUUGUAGAGGAUGCUUCUGAGUAACCACCGACCUAAGUUCCUUGGAACAGGACGUCAUAGAGGGUGAGAAUCCCGUAUGCGGUCGGAAAGGUGCUCUAUACGUAGCUCCUUCGACGAGUCGAGUUGUUUGGGAAUGCAGCUCUAAAUGGGAGGUAAAUUUCUUCUAAAGCUAAAUAUUGGCCAGAGACCGAUAGCGCACAAGUAGAGUGAUCGAAAGAUGAAAAGCACUUUGGAAAGAGAGUUAAAAAGCACGUGAAAUUGUUAAAAGGGAAGGGAUUGCAACCAGACUUGCUCGCGGUGUUCCGCCGGUCUUCUGACCGGUCUACUCGCCGCGUUGCAGGCCAGCAUCGUCUGGUGCCGCUGGAUAAGACUUGAGGAAUGUAGCUCCCUCGGGAGUGUUAUAGCCUCUUGUGAUGCAGCGAGCGCCGGGCGAGGUCCGCGCUUCGGCUAGGAUGCUGGCGUAAUGGUCGUAAUCCGCCCGUCUUGAAACACGGACCAAGGAGUCUAACAUCUAUGCGA
rnacentral:rRNA from 1 species